rnacentral:rRNA from 1 species
CCUACGGGGGGCUGCAGUGGGGAAUAUUGGACAAUGGGCGAAAGCCUGAUCCAGCCAUGCCGCGUGUGUGAAGAAGGCCUUCGGGUUGUAAAGCACUUUCAGUGGAGAAGAAAGCCUUGGGGCUAAUACCCUCGAGGAAGGACAUCACCCACAGAAGAAGCACCGGCUAACUCCGUGCCAGCAGCCGCGGUAAUACGGAGGGUGCGAGCGUUAAUCGGAAUUACUGGGCGUAAAGCGCGCGUAGGCGGUCUGAUAAGCCGGUUGUGAAAGCCCCGGGCUCAACCUGGGAACGGCAUCCGGAACUGUCAGGCUAGAGUGCAGGAGAGGAAGGUAGAAUUCCCGGUGUAGCGGUGAAAUGCGUAGAGAUCGGGAGGAAUACCAGUGGCGAAGGCGGUCUUCUGGACUGACACUGACGCUGAGGUGCGAAAGCGUGGGUAGCAAACAGGAUUAGAUACCCGAGUAGUC